AACGUAGGGGGCGAGCGUUGUCCGGAAUUACUGGGCGUAAAGGGCGCGUAGGCGGUUUCUUAAGUCUUGAGGUGAAAACUAUCGGCUCAACCGGUAGCGUGCCUGAGAAACUGGGAGACUUGAGGGCAGGAGAGGGGAGUGGAAUUCCCAGUGUAGCGGUGAAAUGCGUAGAUAUUGGGAGGAACACCAGUGGCGAAGGCGGCUCUCUGGCCUGUUACUGACGCUGAGGCGCGAAAGCGUGGGGAGCGAACGGGAUUAGAUACCCCGGUAGUCCACGCCGUAAACGAUGGGUGCUAGGUGUAGGAGGUAUCGACCCCUUCUGUGCCGUAGUUAACACAAUAAGCACCCCGCCUGGGGAGUACGGCCGCAAGGUUGAA
rnacentral:rRNA from 1 species